CAUUUGAGUAUGCACAUGACAAGGUUAUGUGGCACAGUCCACACUAACCUGCAAAGCAUUGAUUUGAUAAUUACUCAACUAUAUAAGUUUGGCAUUUGAGUAUGCACAUGAGAAGGUUAUGUGGCACAGUCCACACUAACCUACUUUAGUUGUAAGUACACAACCAAUGUGGGAUUCAUGGUCCACUAUCCUUCGGUUGCAAGUACACAGCCUAUGUCCAAUUCAUUUAAGUACACAAUGUAUGUGGGAUUCAUUUAAGUACACAAUCGAUACGGGAUUCAUGGUCCACUAUCCUUCGGUUGUAAGUACACAACCAAUGUGGGAUUCAUGGUCCGCUGUCCUU
rnacentral:lncRNA from 1 species